UACGUAGGGGGCAAGCGUUGUCCGGAAUCAUUGGGCGUAAAGAGCGUGUAGGCGGCCCGAUAAGUCCGCUGUGAAAGUCCAGGGCUCAACCCUGGAAUGCCGGUGGAUACUGCAGGGCUAGAGUCCGGAAGAGGCGGAGGUAGUACUCGUGGUGUAGCGGUGAAAUGCGUAGAUAUCGGGAGGAACGACCUGUCGGCGAAAGCGGACUCGACUGGACCACUAACGUC
rnacentral:rRNA from 1 species